rnacentral:rRNA from 1 species
UACGGGGGGAGCAAGCGUUGUUCGGAUUUACUGGGCGUAAAGGGCGCGUAGGCGGCCACCGCAAGUCACUUGUGAAAUCUCCGGGCUUAACCCGGAAAGGUCAACUGAUACUGCGGGGCUAGAGUGCAGAAGGGGCAACUGGAAUUCCUAGUGUAGCGGUGAAAUGCGUAGAGAUUAGGAAGAACACCAGUGGCGAAGGCGGCUCACUGGCCCGAUACUGACGCUGAGGUGCGAAAGCGUGGGGAGCAAACAGG